rnacentral:rRNA from 1 species
UACAGAGGGGGCAAGCGUUGUUCGGAAUUACUGGGCGUAAAGGGCGCGUAGGCGGCCCGCUAAGUCGAACGUGAAAUCCCCGAGCUCAACUCGGGAACUGCGUCCGAUACUGGCGGGCUUGAAUCCGGGAGAGGGAUGCGGAAUUCCAGGUGUAGCGGUGAAAUGCGUAGAUAUCUGGAGGAACACCGGUGGCGAAGGCGGCUCACUGGCCCGGUACUGACGCUGAGGUGCGAAAGCGUGGGGAGCAAACAGG